rnacentral:rRNA from 1 species
UAAUACGGAGGGGGCAAGCGUUAUUCGGAAUUAUUGGGCGUAAAGGGCGCGUAGGCGGCCUGACAAGUCAAAGGUGAAAUCCCUCGGCCUAACCGAGGAACUGCCUUUGAAACUGUCUGGCUUGAGGCCGGGAGAGGGUAGUGGAAUUCCCAGUGUAGCGGUGAAAUGCGUAGAUAUUGGGAGGAACACCAGUGGCGAAGGCGACUACCUGGACCGGUUCUGACGCUGAGGCGCGAAAGCGUGGGGAGCAAACAGGAUUAGAUACCCUGGUAGUCCACGCCGUAAACGAUGGGUACUCGGUGCAGCGGGUAUUGACCCCUGCUGUGCCUUAGCUAACGCGUUAAGUACCCCGCCUGGGGAGUACGGUCGCAAGGCUG